GACGAACGCUGGCGGCGUGCCUAAUACAUGCAAGUAGAACGCUGAAGGAGGAGCUUGCUCUUCUGGAAGAGUUGCGAACGGGUGAGUAACGCGUAGGUAACCUGCCUGGUAGCGGGGGAUAACUAUUGGAAACGAUAGCUAAUACCGCAUAAGAUUGAAUAUCGCAUGAUAAUUGAUUAAAAGAUGCAAUUGCAUCACUACCAGAUGGACCUGCGUUGUAUUAGCUAGUAGGUGAGGUAACGGCUCACCUAGGCGACGAUACAUAGCCGACCUGAGAGGGUGAUCGGCCACACUGGGACUGAGACACGGCCCAGACUCCUACGGGAGGCAGCAGUAGGGAAUCUUCGGCAAUGGGGGCAACCCUGACCGAGCAACGCCGCGUGAGUGAAGAAGGUUUUCGGAUCGUAAAGCUCUGUUGUAAGAGAAGAACGAGUGUGAGAGUGGAAAGUUCACACUGUGACGUAUCUACCAGAA
rnacentral:rRNA from 1 species